rnacentral:rRNA from 3 species
CCCAGACAGCCAGGAUGUUGGCUUAGAAGCAGCCAUCAUUUAAAGAAAGCGUAAUAGCUCACUGGUCGAGUCGGCCUGCGCGGAAGAUGUAACGGGGCUAAACCAUGCACCGAAGCUGCGGCAGCGAACGUAUCACUUAAAGCGAUUCAGCGGGUUACGAUUGACGGAGCGAAGCGACGUCAAAGCGUAUACAAAGUCGAGUCGGUUUAAGGAUACGUUCGUUGGGUAGGGGAGCGUUCUGUAAGCCUGCGAAGGUGGCCUGUGAGGGUUGCUGGAGGUAUCAGAAGUGCGAAUGCUGACAUAAGUAACGAUAAAGCGGGUGAAAAGCCCGCUCGCCGGAAGACCAAGGGUUCCUGUCCAACGUUAAUCGGGGCAGGGUGAGUCGACCCCUAAGGCGAGGCCGAAAGGCGUAGUCGAUGGGAAACGGGUUAAUAUUCCCGUACUUGGUGUUACUGCGAAGGGGGGACGGAGAAGGCUAUGUUGGCCGGGCGACGGUUGUCCCGGUUUAAGCGUGUAGGUGUGUGUUCCAGGUAAAUCCGGUUCACUUUAACACUGAGGCGUGACGACGAGGCACUACGGUGCUGAAGCAACAAAUGCCCUGCUUCCAGGAAAAGCCUCUAAGCAUCAGGUAACAUCAAAUCGUACCCCAAACCGACACAGGUGGUCAGGUAGAGAAUACCAAGGCGCUUGA